GACCGCACCGGUGCCGGCGUGCGUGCCGCGGAAGCCGCUGCCUCCGGCUCCGCAACCGGCUCCGAGCUGCCUCAUGCAUCUACUAUUGAAAUGGGUGAAGCAAUGUUGGAGAAGUUUGACAAAUAUUGGGAAGAAAAGAACAAUGCCAUGGUGAUCGCAACCAUCUUUGAUCCACGGUACAAGAUGGGUUACAUAGAGUGGGCCUUUGGAGAACUAUAUGGAGAAGGAAGUACGAGGUUUAGGACUGAGAUCAAAAUCGGGGAGAAAGAGUUGGUGGCC